ensembl:lncRNA
CUUUAAUACAAACAGCAAGGACUUGUUUAGACAGGUAGCUAUCAGAAGCAAAGAAAAUGGAUUAUGGUGCAGGAAGGCUAUUUUACAGGCUGGAGGAUAACUUGCAUAGACCUAAUCGAAGUUCUGCUUCACUUUUUUUUUCAGUGUGAGGAGGGCAACAAGUACUGCAGAAGAAAUAACUGAACGAAGCGCACGAGGGUAUGAAAAUGGAAAUCACUGCUUCGAACCGCUCCAAAGUGCAAAUGUUGUACAUCAGUUUGCAUUAGCGAAAGCCAGGGAAACCGGCCAUGAGAAAUGACAUCCGACACCAAUCGCUUCGAAGGUGGACGGCUGCUGAUGGGAAGACAGCAAGCACUGAAUAACAAGUAAAGAAGAAGCAGUGAACUCAGUAGAGAGGAACUGGAAGAAAACCACGACUCUGACGUACAGUUCCUUACGCAGCCAAAAAUCAAGUCAGAGAUUUUAUUGAUGUCUGCAUAAGAGACGUCAAGUCACGGUCUGAAGCAGUGAUUGAGCACCUGGUGGAAGGCAGGGCCAACCCAGGUGAACGCAAUGCAGCCAAUUAGAAGGGGUGGAGCCAGGAUCCACCCCUUCCCAGACCUCAUUUAAGGGCCAGCAGGGGGAGGAGAAAGAGUGUCUUCUAGAGCUCUCUGCACCCUUGAGGAUUUUACAGGUCUUGUAAAGAACUUGCAGUGCUAAAUGGCCAACUGCAGAAGCGGUCCUCAUCCUCUACUUUCUUCUCCCAAGAUAAAGUCAGUUCAGCAGCAAGGGAAGAAGUCCCAAGCACAGAAAUAACUGUAGGCGCUACAUUUCUUCCCUGAGGUAAGCAAGAUUCUUUGCUUUUUGUUUCAAGUUGGAGACUGCCAGGUAUCCACUACACCAGGAAACUUGAGCUAGCUCAGUCCAGCCAUUAUUUUAGUGCAGAUACUUAGGCAUCCUAUUUCCACAGGUAACACAGAGCAUCUCUACUUGCAGUAGAAAAUCUUUUCAAAAGAAACUGCUGCAAGCGGGUAAUCCUUCUCUAAAACUGACAUCUACUCACCUGCUUCUCACACUAUGGAAGCAAACUUCAUUCCCACUAUUUUUGGGGCACACACUGAAACAAGAGCAGAGUUACACCUAGAAGUUCUCCUCUGCAGUUUUGAUCCUGCAAGGAGGCAAAAGUGAAAGAAGCCUAUCUUGCAAGGGAGACCUAGUUGUUCAUUGUUUGAAUUUAGAAACUUCUAAGUUAAGUUGUCUGUCCAAUUUGAUUGAGCUCACUUUGUGAGAAGCAGUGUUAAAUACUGAGGGAAAAGUCUCUGUCCAGAUAACAUUUUAAACUAUAGAUGCAGAAAACCAAGUUGGCCUUGUACAGACCUCUCCAGAGAAGUUUUAUAAGCAUUUCCAUUUUCUUAGACCAUUUUUUCUCCUAAGAGGAAUAGGCAAGAAAGUCAGAGAAAGGCAACUUCCCUCCUUCUUAACCAUCUCAUCCUAUUUAGGUUGUUAGUUAGGAACACAGCCUUAUACGCAACUCCACAGGCACAUUUCACCUCCAGCCACUUACCCAAACCCUUUUUACUGUAACCUUCAGGCACAGUAAACCACUACACACAUCAAGCACCCUCUUAAGCUACAGAUACAGAGUCAUAGCAAAAAAAGUUCUACUUGAGCUUUGUAAUAAACUGAACUUUCUCCUCCUGCAGAGCACAGAACUCAGCUCCUCCCUUCCAGCCCAGGACCAGCAACACUGCCACCAAGAGCCAUCACAUCAGAAAGGGGAGCCCCCUCACCAGGAGGGGCUCCCUCUGUGGGGGGGUAGGUGAGGUGGGGGCCCCUUCACCAGGAGGGGCUCCCUCUGUGGGGGGGUAGGUGAGGUGGGGGCCCCUUCACCAGGAGGGGCUCCCUCUGUGGGGGGGGGGUAGGUGAGGUGGGGGCCCCUUCCCCAGGAGGGGCUCCCC